rnacentral:rRNA from 1 species
GAGCGAGAAAGUGGUAGCAAUACCAUGAGUAAAGCGGCGCACGGGUGAGUAACACGUGACUAACCUACCCUGGAGUGGGGAAUAACUGAGGGAAACCUUAGCUAAUACCGCAUAAUACCUACGGGUCAAAGGAGCAAUUCGCUCUGGGAGGGGGUCGCGGCCGAUUAGUUAGUUGGCGGGGUAAUGGCCCACCAAGACGAUGAUCGGUAUCCGGCCUGAGAGGGCGCACGGACACACUGGAACUGAAACACGGUCCAGACUCCUACGGGAGGCAGCAGUGGGGAAUUUUGCGCAAUGGGGGAAACCCUGACGCAGCAACGCCGCGUGGAGGAUGAAGUCCCUCGGGACGUAAACUCCUUUCGAUCGGGACGAUAAUGACGGUACCGGAAGAAGAAGCCCCGGCUAACUUCGUGCCAGCAGCCGCGGUAAUACGAGGGGGGCGAGCGUUGUUCGGAAUUAUUGGGCGUAAAGGGUGCGUAGGCGGUUUGGUAAGUCUUCUGUGAAAUCUAUGGGCUCAACUCAUAGACUGCAUGAGAAACUGCCGGGCUCGAGUGUGGGAGAGGUGAGUGGAAUUUCCGGUGUAGCGGUGAAAUGCGUAGAUAUCGGAAGGAACACCUGUGGCGAAAGCGGCUCACUGGACCACAACUGACGCUGAUGCACGAAAGCUAGGGGA